UGUGUUGCCGGCAAGGGCGUAUGGUGGAUGCCUUGGCAGACAGUACCGAUGAAGGACGUGUGGGGCCGCGAUAGGCCUCGGGGAGCCGCCGACAGGGCUUUGAUCCGAGGAUUUCCGAAUGGGGGGACCCGCCGGUGUUGAUGCGCCGGCACCGCCUUGUGCGGGGGGUACGCAGGGAAGUGAAACAUCUCAGUACCUGCAGGAAGAGAUAUUCCGUGAGUAGUGGCGAGCGAAAGCGGAGAAGGCCAAACCGGCCGCGUGUGAUAGCCUCCAGGCGUUGCGCGGUCGGUGUUGUGGGAUUUGGUGUCCGGCUCCUGGAGGGGUCGGCGGAAGUGAUAAAGCGUCGUGCUAGGCGAACGGGAUUGAAUUCCCGGCCGUAGAGGGUGAUGGCCCCGUAGCCGGUCGUGCGACGCCUUCCGAUCCUUGUUCCCAAGUAGCACCGGACUCGAGGAAUCCGGUGUGAAUCCGCCCAGACCGUUGGGUAAGCCUAAAUAUAACUGUCUGACCGAUAGCGUACUAGUACCGUGAGGGAAAGGUGAAAAGCACCCCGGGAGGGGAGUGAAACAGUUCCUGAAACCGUGCGCCUACAAACCGUCGGAGCCUCCUUGAGGGGUGACGGCGUGCCUAUCGAAAAAUGAGUCUGCGAGUCAGUGGCAUGUGGCGAGGCUAACCCGUCGUGGGGGAGCCGUAGCGAAGGCGAGUCUCAAAUAGGCGUUUGAGUCGCAUGUCCUGGACCCGAAGCGGGAUGAUCUAGCCCUGAGCAGGUUGAAGCGCGGGUAAGACCGCGUGGAGGACCGAACCCACCUAGGUUGAAAACUGGGGGGAUGACUUGGGGCUAGGGGUGAAAGGCCAAUCAAAUUCCGUGAUAGCUGGUUCUCUCCGAAAUGCAUUUAGGUGCAGCGUCGCGUCAUUGCCCCCGGGGGGUAGAGCUACUGGAUGCUUGCGGGUCCGUAUCGGAUACCAACAGCAACCAAACUCCGAAUACCCGUGGGGUUUAUCGCGGCAGUGAGUCGGCGGGGGAUAAGCUUCGUCGUCAAAAGGGAAACAGCCCAGAUCGUCGUCUAAGGUCCCUAAGCGUGUGCUAAGUGGGAAAGGAUGUGGAGUCGCAUAGACAGCCAGGAGGUUGGCUCAGAAGCAGCCACCCUUGAAAGAGUGCGUAACAGCUCACUGGUCUAGUGGUUCCGCGCCGACAAUGUAGCGGGGCUCAAGCACGCCACCGAAGACGCGGCAGUGUCUUUGACACUGGGUAGGAGAGCGUUCCGUCAGGGGCGAAGCGGCGGCGUAAGCCGGCCGUGGACUUGGCGGAAGUGAGAAUGCAGACAUGAGUAGCGAGAGACGGGUGAGGAUCCCGUCCGCUGGAUGACUGAGGUUUCCAGGGCCACGUUCAUCGUCCCUGGGUUAGUCGGGUCCUAAGGCGAGGCCGACAGGCGUAGUCGAAUGGAUGAACGGGUUGAUAUUCCCGUACCGGCGCAUGACCGACAGGCCCGAAAGUCGGGUACUAACCUUCGUCCCGUUUGAGGGUUCCCUUCGGGGUUCCCGAUGGCGGGGGGCUGGGACAGACCUUCCGGUAGGGCAGCGCAGGAGUGACGCAGAGGAGUAGCCGGCCGCGGCGGUGGUAGUCCGUGGUCAAGCGUGCAGCCCGCAUCCCAGGCAAAUCCGGGGUGCGUGAGGGCGAGGCGCGAUGGUGGGGCCCGUUGGGGUCGAUAUCCGGUGAUCCCCUCUGCCGAGAAAAGCUUCGGCGCGAGGGCAUGCGGCGCCCGUACCGCAAACCGACACAGGUGGUCAGGUAGAGAAUACCAAAGCGAUCGAGCGAAUCCUGGUCAAGGAACUCGGCAAAUUACUCCCGUGCCUUCGGUAUAAGGGAGACCCCUUGGGGUGAACCAGCUUGCCUGGGGAGCCUUGGGGGGUGGCACAGACCAGGGGGUAGCGACUGUUUACCAAAAACACAGGUGCAUGCGAAGGCGUAAGCCGCUGUAUAUGCACUGACGCCUGCCCGGUGCCGGAAGGUUAAGAGGAUCCGUCAUCCCUCCUCGUGAGGGGGCAGCGGUGAAUUCAAGCCCCGGUAAACGGCGGUGGUAACUAUAACCAUCCUAAGGUAGCGAAAUUCCUUGUCGGGUAAGUUCCGACCUGCACGAAUGGCGUAACGACUUCCCCACUGUCUCGACCAGGAGCUCGGCGAAAUUGCAGUACGAGUAAAGAUGCUCGUUAAGCGCAGAAGGACGAAAAGACCCCGGGACCUUUACUAUACCUUGGUAUUGUCAUUAGGUUCGGACUGUGUAGCAUAGGCGGGAGGCUUUGAAGCGCGGACGCUAGUUCGUGUGGAGCCGGAAGGUGAAAUACCGCUCUGUCCGUAUUUGAUGUCUAACCUCGACAAGUCAUCCUUGUCAGGGACAGUGCCUGGCGGGUAGUUUAACUGGGGCGGUUGCCUCCCAAAGAGUAACGGAGGCGCCCAAGGGUCCGCUCAGCCCGGUUGGCAAUCGGGUGUUGAGUGCAAUCGCACAAGCGGGCUUGACUGUGAGACUGACGGGUCGAGCAGGGACGAAAGUCGGAGAUAGUGAUCCGGUGCCGGCGUACGGACGCGGCAUCGCUCAACGGAUAAAAGGUACCCCGGGGAUAACAGGCUGAUCAUCCCCAAGAGUCCAUAUCGACGGGAUGGUUUGGCACCUCGAUGUCGGCUCGUCGCAUCCUGGGGCUGUAGCAGGUCCCAAGGGUUCGGCCGUUCGCCGAUUAAAGCGGCACGCGAGCUGGGUUCAGAACGUCGUGAGACAGUUUGGUCUCUAUCCUCUGCGCUCGUUGGAAUCUUGAGGAGGCCUGCCCAUAGUACGAGAGGACCUGGGUGGACAAACCUCUGGUAUGCCGGUUGUCGCGCCAGCGGCACGGCCGGUUAGCUACGUUUGGAAGGGAUAACCGCUGAAAGCAUCUAAGCGGGAAGCCUGCUCCAAGAUUAGGAUUCCGUGGGGUUUUCGGACCCCUGUAGGCCCCAGGCUAGAACACCUGGUUGAUAGGCCGGACGUGGAAGCCCCGUGAGGGGUGGAGCUGACCGGUACUAAUGGCCGACGGGCAAUACACG
rfam:Bifidobacterium bohemicum DSM 22767 Contig4, whole genome shotgun sequence.